rnacentral:rRNA from 1 species
UACGUAGGGACCAAGCGUUGUUCGGAUUUACUGGGCGUAAAGGGCGCGUAGGCGGCGUGUCAAGUCAGGCGUGAAAGCCCCGGGCUCAACCUGGGAACCGCGCUUGAGACUGGCAUGCUCGAGUUCGGGAGAGGAUGGUGGAAUUCCCAGUGUAGAGGUGAAAUUCGUAGAUAUUGGGAAGAACACCGAUGGCGAAGGCAGCCAUCUGGACCGACACUGACGCUGAGGCGCGAAAGCGUGGGGAGCAAACAGG